UUGUACUGAACAGUGUGGAACGAAAUCGUCACUUUGAGCGUGCAUGUACUUGAGUGUUUGGUAGAUUUCUUCUAUCUGGUAGUACUGAUCAAGAAGGUGUUGACUUGUACAUUCAGUUCACAUGGCCGAGAUAUGCACUUGUUUAACUUCACACUUGUUAUUUACAGUCCAGGAUCUGCUAAACCUUGCAAGUACAGGAGGAUGAGUGCUCUCUCUCCUACAGGUCAAAGAGGCCUCCAGGUCAAACAAUGCUUGCUGUCAUUAGAAACCGAUCAAACUUAAAAUUCCGUGCAAAACCAUGUGCUUGAGAUUUCCCACUGAAAUACUCAUGCUGAGACCUUGCUAGGUUACUUGCGUGAGCAACGAGAAGGGGGCAGCUCCAGAGCUGGACCAGGCGGCGCAGCUACGAGCAUGGCUCGGUAACACGCUGGUCAUGCGACAAAGCUACGAGCUUGGCUAGGCAAUGCAGCACUGAUAUGGUGAAAUACAGAAAGCACCUCUUCCAGCUGUAGCACCUGCUGGCUCAACAUUGCUUGAAAUGGCAUGUGAGUUAAUUCUCUGAUGCUGAACUUGAUGGUUUGCACUAGCAGGUGCCUGAAUUUGCGCAACAUUUGUACGCGGGUCUGAAGGUGCUGCUCCAUCAAGUCUGUUCUCACUCGGCAAACGAGAUCAUGAAGCUUCAUCACCAGCUACAGGCAUAUUAAUGAGAAAAGUAUUAACCCUUUGGCGCACGAAGAAGUACAAAACUGAAGAAUAACAAAUUACCUUUGAAUCUGUCGGUGGCAAUUCAUCAAACAACUCAGGUGUCGGCGACCUUGCUACGUCCCAUGGCUCCUUUAGGUCAUGUACGGUCUGAAAUAAAUUGAUGAAAUUGGUUCCUAUUUUAUAAUGAAAAUAAAUAUGGAAGAAUAAAUACAAAUGUUGUACAAUACGUAAUUUAUGUACCUCUCCGGCCUGAAGGCCGUGCUUAUCAAAAAUAGCACAGACUUUGCGCA